CCCCCCUUUCCCCCCCAGCUCCUCCAUUGGCCGCCGUUAUCCGCGCCGCCGCUGCCUCUGCUGCUUCUUCCUGGGGCUGCUGAUGGCCGCCUCCGCCACCGGCCUGGCUGUGGGGACGUGGGCAGCAGCGCGUCGCUGGGGGGCUCUCCACGCGUGUUGGGCCGUGUUGGUGGCGGGGGCCGGAGCGUGUCUGCUGCGCGCCGGCUACUGGGGCUGCGUGAGGGUCAGCCACCCCAUCCCGCAACGCGCCUGAGCAACAUGCCAACGACACGCCAACGACACGCCAAGGACACACGUCGACGGUCCCUGCUGGUUCCGACACGCCAAGGUCACGCUAAGGACACGCUAAAAGGGAGGGGGGGAAGGACGUGGCGAGGAGGCGGCGUGGCGUGAGGUGGGACAUGCUAAGGACAUGCUAAGGUCAUGCUAAGGGUGUGCUUGCGUCACGGUGGGUUUGUCGUAUUGGUGGUCAUGCAGGCUUUGGAACACGCUAAGGACACGCUUAGGUCAUGGAACAUGCUAAGGACAUGCUUAGCUUGUGGUACAUGCUAAGGACAUGAGGCUGUCAUGCAGCGUGCUUCAGGUGUGGGAACAUGCUAAGGUCAUGCUUGCGUCAUGGAACACGCUAAGGGCACGGGUUCAUCAUGUGACAUUCCUCAGACAUGCCGAAGUCAUGGGGCGUGCUAAGGACAUGCUUGCGACAUGGAACACGCUAAGGACACGGGUUCUCUUGUAUGACAUUCCUCAAACAUGCUAAGGACACGCCAACGUCACGGCACACACUAAGGACAUGGGGUUUCUUUCUCACAUUCCUUGGGCCGUUGUCGAGUCAUGUAACAUGCUAAGGGCACGCCAACAUCAUGUGACAUUCCUUGGGUUGUCGGGUCAUGUAACAUGCUAAGGACAUACGAA